rnacentral:rRNA from 1 species
GACGAACGCUGGCGGCGUGCUUAACACAUGCAAGUCGAACGGUGAAGCCCUUCGGGGUGGAUCAGUGGCGAACGGGUGAGUAACACGUGAGCAACCUGCCCCUGGCUCUGGGACAACCACUGGAAACGGUGGCUAAUACCGGAUACGACCCGCCUCGGCAUCGAGUGUGGGUGGAAAGUUUUUCGGCUGGGGUUGGGCUCGCGGCCUAUCAGCUUGUUGGUGAGGUGAAGGCUCACCAAGGCGACGACGGGUAGCCGGCCUGAGAGGGCGACCGGCCACACUGGGACUGAGACACGGCCCAGACUCCUACGGGAGGCAGCAGUGGGGAAUAUUGCACAAUGGGCGAAAGCCUGAUGCAGCGACGCCGCGUGAGGGAUGACGGCCUUCGGGUUGUAAACCUCUUUCAGCUCCGAAGAAGCGAAAGUGACGGUAGGAGCAGAAGAAGCACCGGCUAACUACGUG